UUCAUGAUCUUUUAAUAGCCGCAGUACUUUGACUGUGCUAAGGUAGCAUAAUCAAUUGUCUUUUAAUUAAAGACUAGAAUAAAUGAAUUUAUGAAUUAGAUUCUUUAUUUAUAUAUUUUAUUAAAAUUUAUUUAUUAGGUGAAAAUACCUAAUUUAAUUUUAUUAGACGAGAAGACCCCAGGAAUUUCUUAUUCUUUUUUAUUGGGGCGAUAUCUAAACACACAAUUUAACUUUAGAAAUUUAUAAAACGAAAAAUGUUAAUAUAAAUUAAAUUACCCUGGGGAUAACAGCAUAAUUUUUUAAAAAGAUUGUGACCUCGAUGUUGGAUUAGAAAAAUUUUUACUUAAAGAGUAAAUUUUUAUGUUCUGUUCGAACAAUAAUUUUUUAAUUUUCUACAUGAUCUGAGUUCAGACCGGCGUAAGCCAGGUCAGUUUCUGAA
rnacentral:rRNA from 1 species